AAAGUCCCUGUCGGGUAAGGUUUAACCAGCCACCCGUAUCGAGUGUUGCGCCUGUGGCGGAGCAGUUUUUUUUUGAGGCUGCGAACAAGACAGGUGAAGCGUACACAGAGAAUCAUGUAGGCCACAGGGGAUACCGUGUCCCUGAAGUGCUGGCAUCGCUCCGAUAAUAAAGAAAGCUCUGGUUGACGAGGCUUGUAACGCAGUCGAAGUCCAUGCAAAACAACCGUAUCAGGUGAGGUUGUGGCGAACCAGCGGGGUUCUCAAGCC
rfam:Marinobacterium sp. ST58-10, complete genome.